rnacentral:tRNA from 1 species
GGCGCUAUAGCCAAGUGGUUACGGCGACAGAUUCGAAUCCCACGUUAUCUGUUCCUCUUUGAGGGCGCAGGUUCAAAUCCUGCUGGCGUCG